rnacentral:rRNA from 1 species
UGAGCUUGAUCAUGGCUCAGAUUGAACGCUGGCGGCAGGCCUAACACAUGCAAGUCGAGCGGUAGAGAGAAGCUUGCUUCUCUUGAGAGCGGCGGACGGGUGAGUAAUGCCUAGGAAUCUGCCUGGUAGUGGGGGAUAACGUUCGGAAACGGACGCUAAUACCGCAUACGUCCUACGGGAGAAAGCAGGGGACCUUCGGGCCUUGCGCUAUCAGAUGAGCCUAGGUCGGAUUAGCUAGUUGGUGAGGUAAUGGCUCACCAAGGCGACGAUCCGUAACUGGUCUGAGAGGAUGAUCAGUCACACUGGAACUGAGACACGGUCCAGACUCCUACGGGAGGCAGCAGUGGGGAAUAUUGGACAAUGGGCGAAAGCCUGAUCCAGCCAUGCCGCGUGUGUGAAGAAGGUCUUCGGAUUGUAAAGCACUUUAAGUUGGGAGGAAGGGUUGUAGAUUAAUACUCUGCAAUUUUGACGUACCGACAG